UACGUAGGGGGCUAGCGUUGUCCGGAUUUAUUGGGCGUAAAGAGCUCGUAGGCGGCUUGUCGCGUCGUCCGUGAAAACUUGGGGCUCAACCCCAAGCUUGCGGUCGAUACGGGCAGGCUAGAGUUCGGUAGGGGAGACUGGAAUUCCUGGUGUAGCGGUGAAAUGCGCAGAUAUCAGGAGGAACACCGGUGGCGAAGGCGGGUCUCUGGGCCGAUACUGACGCUGAGGAGCGAAAGCGUGGGGAGCGAACAGG
rnacentral:rRNA from 1 species